CUUUACUGUAGCCUGGAAUUGGGUUCGGGCUUUAACUGCGCAGGAUAGGUGGGAGGCUAUGAGGUUAUGCUUGUGGGCAUAACGGAGCCAACGGUGAGAUACCACUCUGUUAAGGCUAGAAUUCUAACUUGUGCCCGUUAUCCGGGACGAGAACAGUUUCAGGUGGGCAGUUUGACUGGGGCGGUCGCCUCCUAAAAUGUAACGGAGGCGCGCAAAGGUUCUCUCAGGCUGGUUGGAAAUCAGCCGUAGAGUGUAAAAGCACAAGAGAGCUUGACUGUGAGAGAAACACCUCGAGCAGGGACGAAAGUCGGCUUUAGUGAUCCGACGGCGCUGCGUGGAAAGGCCGUCGCUAAACGGAUAAAAGUUA
rnacentral:rRNA from 1 species